rnacentral:rRNA from 1 species
UAAUACGGAGGGUGCAAGCGUUAUCCGGAUUCACUGGGUUUAAAGGGUGCGUAGGCGGGCAGGUAAGUCAGUGGUGAAAUCUUCGAGCUUAACUCGGAAACUGCCGUUGAUACUAUCGGUCUUGAAUAUCGUUGAGGUAAGCGGAAUAUGUCAUGUAGCGGUGAAAUGCUUAGAUAUGACAUAGAACACCAAUUGCGAAGGCAGCUUGCUAAACGAUCAUUGACGCUGAUGCACGAAAGCGUGGGGAUCAAACAGGAUUAGAUACCCUGGUAGUCCACGCCCUAAACGAUGAUUACUCGACAUACGCGAUACAUUGUGUGUGUCUGAGCGAAAGCAUUAAGUAAUCCACCUGGGAAGUACGACCGCAAGGUUGAAACUCAAAGGAAUUGACGG